UAUUAAUGGAAAGCGCCAGGGCUAUGGUGAACGAAGAAUCCAUAGCUGACGAGGUGGAGGUUUUAUCGAGUUUGAUCGGCGGAUGCCUCCCGGUUGUUGCAUCUCAACCGUCACAUUUUUAUUCGAAAACAUGAAGGUAACUUUAUGAACAAGAAUAAAAAUAAGAUGCCU
rnacentral:ncRNA from 2 species